rnacentral:rRNA from 1 species
AAUGGGGGCAACCCUGAUCCAGCCAUGCCGCGUGUAUGAAGAAGGCCUUAGGGUUGUAAAGUACUUUCAAACGUGAAGAUAAUGACGGUAGCGUUAGAAGAAGCUCCGGCUAAAUUCGUGCCAGCAGCCGCGGUAAUACGAAUGGAGCAAGCGUUGUUCGGAAUCACUGGGCUUAAAGCGUAUGUAGGCGGAGACGAAAGUCAGGAGUGAAAUCCCAGGGCUCAACCCUGGAACUGCUCUUGAAACUUCGUUUCUAGAAUCCUGGAGAGGUUGGGAGAAUUCCGAGUGUAGAGGUGAAAUUCGCAGAUAUUCGGAGGAAUACCAGUGGCGUAGGCGCCCAACUGGACAGGUAUUGACGCUCAGAUACGAAAGCGUGGGGAGCAAACAGGAUU